GACUGAAGGAACGUUGAAGACGACGACGUUGAUAGGCCGGGUGUGUAAGCGCAGCGAUGCGUUGAGCUAACCGGUACUAAUGAACCGUGAGGCUUAACCUUACAACGCCGAAG
rnacentral:rRNA from 1 species